UUUUUUUUUUUUUUUUUUUUUUUUUUGAGACCGUCUCACUCUUGUCCUCCAGGCUGGAGUGCAAUGGCACAAUCUCAGCUCACUGCAACCUCCACCUCCUGGGUUCGAGUGAUUCUCCUGCCUCAGCCUCCUGAGUAGCUGGGAUUACAGGCUCCCGACACUGUGCCCGGCUAAUUUUUGUAUUUUUAGUAGACACGGGGUUUUACCAUGUUGACCAGGCUGGUCUUGAACCCCUGACCUCGUGAUUUGCCCGCCUUGGCCUCCCAAAGUGCUGGAAUUACAGGCAUGAGCUACCGUGCCCUGCCAAAGAAUUUUUUUAAAAAAAUGACAGUCAGGACACUCGAUUUCUGCUAGUCCCAGUCUGCUAGAAAGAAUGUACUUUUACAAAAACCAGUUCAUCUCAAUUUUGCUCACUAUGUUAGCAGAGUAUGUCUCACUUGUCUACUUUCUUGUUUGUUUCUUGAGCUACCUGUUACCUCUCUCAGUGAGGGAAGUUAAAGCUGCAGCAGGAGCUUGGAGAGCUUUUUCAACUGGUUGACAGCUCUUAUUGUCACACCUUAGUUCAUACGCUAUCUAUAGGCGACUAUUGUUUCAGUGGGUUGUGGUUUAUAAAGUGCUAACAAGGCUUGAGACAUAAAGAUACUAUUAUUUCAGGUGACACUACUUGUUAUGAAUCUGCAGCUUCUCACAUCCCUGACUCUUGUGAAAAUACUCCAUAUACAAUUUUCCGGUCUGUUUCAGCUAUAUCAUUUGACUUCCCUGAAGUAUGGGACUUCAUGAAAGCGUGAUUCCCUUUCAUUCCAACUCCUGAUGUGAUUUCCAAGUGAAUUUACAUUAUUUUACUGUAUCAUUUUACAUUAUUUUAAUAUCUUAGUGAGUUUUUAAAUCAGCAGUCAUGCCUCAGCUGAAUCUCAAGGGACAUUAUAUGGCCACCAGGAAAAGCUAGUGCUAAUUAAGUUUUUCUCUGGAUUUCUCAUUACUGACAAACAGCUCUUGACUUCACAAAAACACCAGUGGCUUCACAGAAGUAGCAUCCAGUAGUUGGUCAAUGUUAUUUCUGUGGUUGCUAUAACCACAUAAGGCAGCUCUUUGACCCCUGAGGAUCUUAUCCCUGGCCAUUCCUGUUUGAGUCAGGGAUAUACACUUUUCCCAAAUUUAUUGACUUUAUUAAGUGGACAACCACCUAAAUCAAUAUCUCUCUCUCCUUCUCCCUCUUUCCCCUCUCCCCUUCUCCCUUUCUUUAUCCUCUCUCUUUUUUUCAAAUUUGAGAGUCCAUGAUUGGGUAUUGAUGAGCAGGAUAGCUUGGGGGCAAGAAACCUAUUUAUUAGCAAUGACCUAAUGUAUGAGCAUAGAAAGAAAAGACUGAGGAAAGCCAAAGAUGGAGAACCUGACAGUUCCGAGAAAAUAUGACUGACCUCAACCUGUGAGGCUUUCAUGUUCUCAAAUGACACAGAAAUGACUAAUUUUCUUCUGUUGAAUUUACUUGAGUUAGCCUCAGUGGAUUUCUAUUUCUUGCAAUGGAAAGUUAAUCAGUACAAUUGAAACUUUAGUUUAUUAAAAGUUAUUUUUAAAUGCAUUUAUCAAAUAUGGAUUUUUCCUUUCAAUAAAAGUAAUAGUAGUUUUGCAUUUGGCAAGGAAUUUAACUUUUUCACAAUUCUUUUACAUCUGUUAUAGCCACAGAAGAUAGAACAACUGCUUUCCUCUAUUUGGUAGAUGAAGCAAGAGUCUGAAAAGAUCAGAUAAUUUGCCUAAAAUCUCACAUAAAACUAGAGGUAGUACUGGAACUAAGUCCCUGACCCUCAAGCAUUGAUUGUCUUCAGUGAUGGCCUGAACUUGCUUGUAACAGUUUACCAAUUCUGCACCUGAUAUCAACUUAAUUUCGUGUUCAGUUUUCAGUGACAUUGUGCUGACAGCUUGAAAUUAGCCAUGGUGGGAGUAUUUAUGUCACAGAAAUCAGCGAACAAUUCAACUAAAAGCUUUAAAAAAAAAAAAAAAA
rnacentral:lncRNA from 1 species